UUUUUUAGUGUUUAUAAUGGUUUAAGGUUUAUCGCAGGUGUUUAUCCCUAUCUGUGAGGAACUACAUUGGUAUUUGGUUAUUGUUGACUUUACGAGUCGUCGCCUAAUCAUAUUGGAUUCACUGCCUUCUGUCGAAAAACAUCAACAACGCAAAAGGAACGCAAUUAAAGUGGCAACUUAUUUAGAAGCGAUGUUAGAUGAUCAUAUUUUUAAUGA